UUGUUGUUUUAAUGUUGUUCUUCGGCCCUUAAAUUCUUCAAAUUAGUACCUAACUUUUUACUAAUGAAAUAUCAUUGUAGACACUCCUUUUUGUAGAUAGAAUGAUAGUUAGCCCAAAAUUGUUUUCUGGUUGGGGUUAUAUGCAUUUUUGUUCUCGCAUGUUUCAUUCAUUUGGACUGUCAAAACUAGCUUGUUUAUUUUACUAAGAAUCUGUAGUUUUUUUUCGAAGUUCCAUUUUUCCUUUUUGAAUUAUAAAAGUCUGUUACCAUGUGCUGAGAGGUUAGUGCCUGGAGAUGUAGCGAGACAUUGGAAUGUGACUAUCAUUCUGGAGCCAUUGAAGGUGAUGGAGAUGGAAAGAAACUGAAGUAGUUCUGAUGAGGUGACGAGGGAAGGAUGCUAUCAAUUUUUCCAUGAAAUAUAGCCUUUGUUGUUAUGACAUCGUAUGAUGUUUGAAAAGUGGUUAGGAAGGAUUCUAGAAUGUUAGGUGGCAAAGUUGGUCUUUGUUCGAGUAACCACUCCACUCGGAUAACCUUUGGUCUCUCUCUCAAACCUAGUCAUUGGCGAGAGUCCUUCAAAUCUCACCUGUGACAAACCUCUAGUUUCUUGCCACUAAACCUUAAGAUACUAGUAGCUCCAAAUGAGAGUGAGCACUUUUAAAUCUCUCCUCAAUAUUCUACUUUUCCAAAAUUUCCAAAAAGACAGACAGAGACUUGAAAAUCUGACAAUGUUUUUGCUUUGGUCUCAAAACCAAAAAUAUCUUGCUAAAGUUUUUUAUUGAAGUAAUUUUUUACAUUUUAAUGUGAAAUGUUUUUGUUUACCAAUAUUUUCACUUUUUUGCUAUCUGAACACCAGAAAGUAUGUACACUAUUUUACUAAAAAUAUUUUAUUCCUAAACAAAUGGAUUCUUGGUAUAAAAUAUUUGUUUAAAAUGCUUAUUUAAUAAAGGACUUGUCUUUUUUAGUACAUUACAAUAGCAAAAUAUUAACGAAGCACUUUCUUGUUUUUGCUUGAUUAACCAACCAAACACUUAUUACUUGGAUUUAGCAACAAUAAAUACAACACUACCCUUAGUUACCGAACACUACUUUUAUCAAUAUUGCUUUCACAACACAACACCAAUGCCAAAUAUCGCAUACCUGUUCUCCUCAAAUUCUGUUGUACUUGGCCUUUGGGAGCCAAAUAUCUUUCUUGUGCCUCUUUGACCAUCUUUUGGUAUCAUAUGAGUCAAACUCAUUCCAAACCAACUGUGAUAUCCCAUCUGUAUGAAAAAGUUUUCAGAUUUCGUGACUUGGAUAGUAAUUCUACUGAUUCCACUCGGCUGGGGACUCACACUAGAACUGAGUUUGCUACCAAGCAAACUUGUGGAUCUCUACAUAAUAGAAGAUCAUCAUCAAUUGCUUACCCUUGUCCUUGUGUUGAGGGAGUGGAUCCAUAAGAAGAUCAUUUGGGAUGGCAAUUCCAAAGAAUGUCGGUGAUCACCCCUUUGGCCAGGCAGGCAGCAAGCACCACCGUUAUCUCUUCCAAUGUCAUAUCCUGUGAGGACUAGGAGGGGUAUCAGCUUGCCUUUUCUGCCAUGCCACUCGCUAUUUCAGGGUUGAACCACAUAAGCUGAGCAUCUCCAUUGAGGGGAUGAGUGAAAAGUGAGCAACCACUGGCUUGGAAGAAUAUCCUUCUCUCCUCAUCUGAGCAGGUUAUCUUUGGCCAAGGGAUCUUGAAUGUUCAUUACCUUUUCUCGCAAUCUUUGCAAAUAAUGAUGAAGGUCCUCACCUUGAUGCUGCAUUUCUCUAAGGAAAUGUAAGGUAGUGAGCCCCUCUUCCACUUUUAAGAUUUUUGCCAAGAACUUUACCAAAUUUUCCUAAGAUGAAUCUGGCUAGAAGAUUGGGUUACCAAGUGCAGGCAUUGUCUGUUAAUAACUCUGAGAGGUCCUGUAGUCUCAAAUUCUUGUUUGCAGAAUGCAAAGCUAAGAUAUUCAUGCACAUUACCUCUCUUCUGUCAUGCUUCACAAAUGUAAGGAUGGUAUAACCUUCUAGGUAAGUGGCAUUUGCAGCUUCCAUAUAAUAUGGGAGGCAGAGAUCAAGUUCAUCUGUGGAACUCCCUUGGCGCUACAGUUGGGAGGUGAUGUACUUGGCAAUCUGAUUAAUUGUCAGCAACUCAACAGGUGUCAAGAUGCUACCUUCUGGCAAGUGAGAUUAUUGGUUCUUGUAUAACCUCCAGUGCAAAGACCGUGGCUGAAGGGUUAGUGUGGGUUCCUUUGCCCUAUUGGGGUCACUCUCAGAACUGAUGAGAUUAGAAGAAAAAGUUUACUGUUGGCAUGGCUGCAUUGUCUGAUUUUGCUGAAGUGAAAAGAAAGCAUUCAUUGUAACCUGUGGUGUAUGUUCCAUUGUGAUAGCUAUUCUGUGAACAACUUCAUCUGGGUACUUUAUCAGCAGGUUCAAAAUUGUGAUUGUUCUCCAACUCCAAAUAAUAGAGUCGUCCAGUUGGUUGCAUCAUCUAGGUUUGGUAGUCUUGUGACAGUGGUAGACCCUGCCCCUUUUCUAGGGGGCACCAUUAUCAGACAGAAGCAGUGUUCCCAGUGGAGUGAAUGUUGAGAGAUCAGUAGAGAUGGAAUGACAUAUUGUACUAUCAUUAGUUGCUGAUAUAGAGCCAGCAGAGGUGAUGUAGGUUGGAAGAGACUGGAGCAGUUGGGACAUCAGAGAGAAAAUCUGUGCCAGAGUGAUCUCUGGUUGAAUGGUGAAUGAUCUCUCCAUUCAUCCAGCUACCUAGUUUUAGGUAAUGGGGAUAGAUACUAACAAUCUUCUGGGAAAAAUUGGGGCUUAGGUUGCUAGGACUGCUCAUGUAUUCUUAUAUGUAGUUAAUAAAAGAUUCCAGAAUGCUGGUGGCAAAGCUGGUCCUUGUGCUGACAACCCCUUGCAUCUUCCUGGUUCUCUCUCAAACUGUCAUGGGUGAGAGUUCCUGAUGCAGGGGAAUCACACUUUUGACAAGUUCCAAGUCUCUUUUUCACCAAACGGCAAGACCCCAAUAGUCCCAAAGGAGAGGGAGAGCUUCAGAGUCCCUUCCCAGGAUACCAAGGGUUUUCAAAGUUUCCUUUAUUGCUCAUUCACUUGGUUGAGGGAGGGACUCUCUUAGUCAACUGGGUCAAGGUCAAGUCACAUCGGACCUGAGUGAAUGGGUACCUUGGAACUGAUUGAGUGGGUGGACUAUUUUUGCCCUUAAUAUUCUCAACAGGAUAUGCUUCCUUUGGCAAACUUCUUUUGAAUUUGAAGUUAUUCUCAAACUUUUUUUUUUCCUGUUCUUCCUGUUUCUGAACGUGAUUCAGUUAAUUAAUUGUCU